CACAGCGAUGCAAAUAUGCUAGCAACCAAAGGAGUCAUUGGGAGGUUUCCAUUAUAGCACCUACUUUGCAACUGAUUUCACCCAGCGAGAGCCACCAACCUCCUGGAAGUACUACCAACCAGUCCGUAAAUAUGUUUCCCUGACAACUAGUGGUUGUAUCGUUUCUAAUAUGAUGCCAUGUGAGAAAUCUCAGUACACCAAAAUUUGACCAAAAUCUUCUAAAUUGACUAAAUUGGAUAUUAGUGAUGGUUAGUCUGUAAGUCUAGCUGCUGUGAUAGUAGAUCUCAUGGAAAACAUUUGUCACGUGAAUGUGUCCAAAAUGUGUUACCAUUUUACUGUUUCGGUUUCCUUGAAUUUUUGGUUGAACGCUAGCUUUAUACUAGAACAUACCACAUGUAUGUUACAGAGAACGAGUUUGCUAAUAGGUGGCUAAAUGCUAAACACAGAACCUUAACCUUAUGCCCAAUCUUAGCAUUCAUGGUUCAAAACUCAUUAAAGUGGCAUCAGUUUGUGAAUCAGUCGGUAUCAUAAGCUUUUUCCCCCCUCUACCUAGUUGGUCUACUGAAAAAAAAUGAGCUGUCAUCAACCAAUUCAUGACAUGUAAGAGAAAAUGCCAAUUGUUGAUGCUGUUGCCAGGUCUCUAAAAAUGAAUCUGUAAUAGUCAGCAUAGAGAUCAGUUCCAAAGAAUUAGAUUCACAUAGAAAUUCCUCUCAAAGUAGCUUAAACAGAUCACGAGUUAGUUUAUUUUUGACCUUAUUUAUAGUAACAGGAAAAAGAUGCCCAAGAAAGGAGACGAGGAAUCCUUUUUGUCAUUCCUACUGUCACAUGACCAACUGAACCCGUGUGACAUAACACCUGCUUUUGUGCAGCACCCGUCCCGCCCUCACCUGCAGUUUCCAUCCAUCCUACCCCAGAUUCACAGGGUUAGAAUGAGGUCGGCAGACUCUAAGCACCGACACUGAUACACACACACAGACACACACACAAUCCACUGCCGCCACCAGCCAACUAAUCGCGUGACUUAAACGACUCACCAGCUCUGCACUCCACCAAUCAGGCCUUUCUGGUCAGUCAGGUCAGACUCUCUCCAGGGAUUGGAUAAUGCUUGAAUCCCCCGCCCCCCUCUCCCACCUGUGUCCAGCCUGUAAGCUAUAUGACCCUGUGGUAAAUGUGUGUGUUGGUGUGCGGAUGACCAGACUGUUAUAUUCACUCUUCAGGAAGUCUGCUGGCUAACGCGCUUGCCCUUUUAGAGGCGGUAAGAAGACAGUCUGGUAAAGUCGGGGGGGUAAGCUGCAGAUUUAGAGGAGACGGGAGUUUGACUGGAAGUUUCCCAGCAUUCCCAGUCAUCAGUUUAGGUUCUUCCCUGUCUGACAGAGGAUGAAAGCCACGUCACUAUGGGUCAGCGGGGACAAAAUCACCGUCCUCCCUCCAUUUUUUUUUUUAAGUCACUGUGCUACAAUGCAAUCGUUCACAGAAGUCCAAUCAUAUGAAUAUAUACCAGUAUAAAGUCUUGUUUUCAAAGUAUGUGAAGCUAUGGAGAAGAUGUAGAUCUAACACUGUACCUAGGUCACAGAUCACUAUGUAUGGGCUGUUAUGCUUUUGCUCAUAACUCCAUGUAAAAUGAAGAAUGAUUUGUUUUUUCCUUUUUUUUAUUUUAUGAUUGUGUGUAUGACUUUAUUGUGUAUUGUCUUUGGUUUGCCACAAAAUGACGUAUACCACAGCAUAUACAGUAUUAAUUAAAUUAAACUUCUUUUUUUAUUUUAUUUUAAGAAAUCAAACUGGAUUUUUGGCAUGUGUCAAAUUUCUGAACUUCAGUUGUGUUUAUAAGCUGACAGGCUGUCGGAGUCUUCAUCUCUGCCAGCACGUGCCUCUUUCUGAAACGGUCACAGCUCCCUAGUUGCCGUCCGUCCACUCUCACACUGCGUUUCAAAUUAGCUGUGACUGUGAAAUGCAGCCUUACCGGAACUAAAUGCUAAUGUGGACGUCACACGUCAGUCCCACUGAACUUCGGUGACUUACACUAUAGGUGCAAGUGAAGCUAACUCAUUGUUUUUAUUGCUGGGUCAAAGUCAUCAUAAGUUGAAGUCAAAUAUAAAAUUCCAGGGAGGAAAAAAACAAAGGAUCAAAUGAACUGUAAUCAUUUUUUCUGAUGUACACUCCUCCACUGUGCUUUGCUUCAUUCUGUCUGUGCGGCUCCUGGAUCUACAUUGUAUCCUUUUCAGGUAUUUUUUGUACAAAUAAGGGACUGAUAUAUUCUCUGUUUAUUGGAAAUUAGAAUAAAAGACAACAUUGCUAUAAACCAAA
ensembl:lncRNA